rnacentral:pre_miRNA from 1 species
GUAAUACGCCCUCCGCCCCGAAUUACUUGUCUUAGAUUUGUCUAGAUACGGCUGUAUUUACUGCUAGAUACAUUCGUAUCUAGAUAAAUCUAAGACAAGUAAUUUGGGAUGGGGGUAAUAUUUA